rnacentral:rRNA from 1 species
AGUGAACGCUGGCGGUAGGCCUAACACAUGCAAGUCGAACGGCAGCACAGUAAGAGCUUGCUCUUACGGGUGGCGAGUGGCGGACGGGUGAGGAAUACAUCGGACUCUACUUUUUCGUGGGGGAUAACGUAGGGAAACUUACGCUAAUACCGCAUACGACCUACGGGUGAAAGCAGGGGAUCUUCGGACCUUGCGCGAUUGAAUGAGCCGAUGUCGGAUUAGCUAGUUGGCGGGGUAAAGGCCCACCAAGGCGACGAUCCGUAGCUGGUCUGAGAGGAUGAUCAGCCACACUGGAACUGAGACACGGUCCAGACUCCUACGGGAGGCAGCAGUGGGGAAUAUUGGACAAUGGGCGCAAGCCUGAUCCAGCCAUACCGCGUGGGUGAAGAAGGCCUUCGGGUUGUAAAGCCCUUUGUUGGGAAAGAAAAGCAGCAGGUUAAUACCCCGCUGUUCUGACGGUACCCAAAGAAUAAGCACCGGCUAACUUCGUG